CUAUCAUGCAAGUCGAGCGAACAGAUGAGAAGCUUGCUUCUCUGAUGUUAGCGGCGGACGGGUGAGUAACACGUGGGUAACCUACCUAUAAGACUGGGAUAACUCCGGGAAACCGGGGCUAAUACCGGAUAAUAUUUUGAACCGCAUGGUUCAAUAGUGAAAGACGGUUUCGGCUGUCACUUAUAGAUGGACCCGCGCCGUAUUAGCUAGUUGGUAAGGUAACGGCUUACCAAGGCGACGAUACGUAGCCGACCUGAGAGGGUGAUCGGCCACACUGGAACUGAGACACGGUCCAGACUCCUACGGGAGGCAGCAGUAGGGAAUCUUCCGCAAUGGGCGAAAGCCUGACGGAGCAACGCCGCGUGAGUGAUGAAGGUCUUCGGAUCGUAAAACUCUGUUGUUAGGGAAGAACAAAUUUGUUAGUAACUGAACAAGUCUUGACGGUACCUAACCAGAAAGCCACGGCUAACUACGUGCCAGCAGCCGCGGUAAUACGUAGGUGGCAAGCGUUAUCCGGAAUUAUUGGGCGUAAAGCGCGCGUAGGCGGUUUCUUAAGUCUGAUGUGAAAGCCCACGGCUCAACCGUGGAGGGUCAUUGGAAACUGGGAAACUUGAGUGCAGAAGAGGAGAGUGGAAUUCCAUGUGUAGCGGUGAAAUGCGCAGAGAUAUGGAGGAACACCAGUGGCGAAGGCGGCUCUCUGGUCUGUAACUGACGCUGAUGUGCGAAAGCGUGGGGAUCAAACAGGAUUAGAUACCCUGGUAGUCCACGCCGUAAACGAUGAGUGCUAAGUGUUAGGGGGUUUCCGCCCCUUAGUGCUGCAGCUAACGCAUUAAGCACUCCGCCUGGGGAGUACGACCGCAAGGUUGAAACUCAAAGGAAUUGACGGGGACCCGCACAAGCGGUGGAGCAUGUGGUUUAAUUCGAAGCAACGCGAAGAACCUUACCAAAUCUUGACAUCCUUUGACCGCUCUAGAGAUAGAGUCUUCCCCUUCGGGGGACAAAGUGACAGGUGGUGCAUGGUUGUCGUCAGCUCGUGUCGUGAGAUGUUGGGUUAAGUCCCGCAACGAGCGCAACCCUUAAGCUUAGUUGCCAUCAUUAAGUUGGGCACUCUAGGUUGACUGCCGGUGACAAACCGGAGGAAGGUGGGGAUGACGUCAAAUCAUCAUGCCCCUUAUGAUUUGGGCUACACACGUGCUACAAUGGAUAAUACAAAGGGCAGCGAAUCCGCGAGGCCAAGCAAAUCCCAUAAAAUUAUUCUCAGUUCGGAUUGUAGUCUGCAACUCGACUACAUGAAGCUGGAAUCGCUAGUAAUCGUAGAUCAGCAUGCUACGGUGAAUACGUUCCCGGGUCUUGUACACACCGCCCGUCACACCACGAGAGUUUGUAACACCCGAAGCCGGUGGAGUAACCU
rnacentral:rRNA from 1 species